rnacentral:rRNA from 1 species
UCCGUAGGCGGGCAAUUAAGUCAGAGGUGAAAUCCCACAGCUCAACUGUGGAACUGCCUGUGAUACUGGUUGUCUUGAGUUAUAGUGAAGUAGAUAGAAUAUGUAGUGUAGCGGUGAAAUGCAUAGAUAUUACAUAGAAUACCGAUUGCGAAGGCAGUCUACUAACUGUAUACUGACGCUAAUGGACGAAAGCGUGGGGAGCGAACAGGAUUAGAUACCCUGGUAGUCC